GACGAACGCUGGCGGCGUGCUUAACACAUGCAAGUCGAACGGAAAGGCCUGCUUUCCCUUGUGGAUUGCGGGUACUCGAGUGGCGAACGGGUGAGUAACACGUGAGUGAUCUGCCCCCAACUUGGGUAUAAGUCUGGGAAACUGGGUCUAAUUCCCGAUAGGACUGCAGGGUGGUGCCUGUGGUGGAAAACGAUUUUCUAGUGGUUGGGGAUGAGCUCGCGGCCUAUCAGCUUGUUGGUGGGGUAAUGGCCUACCAAGGCGGCGACGGGUAGCCGGCCUGAGAGGGUGGACGGGCACAUUGGGACUGGGAUACGGCCCAGACUCCUAAGGGAGGCAGCAGUGGGGAAUAUUGCACAAUGGGCGGAAGCCUGAUGCAGCGACGCCGCGUGGGGGAUGACGGCCUUCGGGUUGUAAACUCCUUUCGACCGCGAGGAAGCCACCUGGUUGGAAGGGUGGUGACGGUAGUGGUAGAAGAAGCACCGGCUAACUACGUG
rnacentral:rRNA from 1 species